GCGGGAUAACGGUUCGAAAGGACUGCUAAUACCGCAUAAGCUCACGGGGUCUAGAAGCCUGUGAGAAAAACUCCGGUGCUGAAGGAGGGGGCUGCGGUCCAUCAGGUAGAUGGUAAGGUAAUGGCUUACCAUGCCGACGACGGAUAGGGGGCCUGAGAGGGUGACCCCCCACACUGGAACUGAGACACGGUCCAGACUCCUACGGGAGGCAGCAGUGAGGAAUAUUGCUCAAUGGGCGCAAGCCUGAAGCAGCGACGCCGCGUGGACGAUGAAGGCUUUCGGGUCGUAAAGUCCUUUUUUAGGUGACGAGCAGGGACGGUAGCCUAAGAAUAAGUGUCGGCUAACUACGUGCCAGCAGCCGCGGUAAAACGUAGGACACAAGCGUUAUCCGGAGUUACUGGGCGUAAAGGGCGUUCAGGCGGGUGAUUAAGUUCGCUAUGAAAGCGCCGGGCUAAACCCGGCGAGGCUGGCGGAUACUGGUCAUCUGGAGUAGGUCAGAGGAAGGUAGAAUUCCGCGUGUAGUGGUGAAAUGCGUAGAGAUGCGGAGGAAUACCAGUGGCGAAAGCGGCCUUCUGGGACCUAACUGACGCUGAAGCGCG
rnacentral:rRNA from 1 species